rnacentral:rRNA from 1 species
AUUGAACGCUGGCGGCAUGCCUUACACAUGCAAGUCGAACGGUAACGCGGGGCAACCUGGCGACGAGUGGCGAACGGGUGAGUAAUACAUCGGAACGUGCCCAGUAGUGGGGGAUAGCCCGGCGAAAGCCGGAUUAAUACCGCAUACGACCUACGGGUGAAAGCAGGGGAUCGCAAGACCUUGCGCUAUUGGAGCGGCCGAUGUCAGAUUAGGUUGUUGGUGGGGUAAAAGCCUACCAAGCCGACGAUCUGUAGCUGGUCUGAGAGGACGACCAGCCACACUGGGACUGAGACACGGCCCAGACUCCUACGGGAGGCAGCAGUGGGGAAUAUUGGACAAUGGGCGAAAGCCUGAUCCAGCAAUGCCGCGUGAGUGAUGAAGGCCUUAGGGUUGUAAAGCUCUUUUACCAGGGAUGAUAAUGACAGUACCUGGAGAAUAAGCUCCGGCUAACUCCGUGCCAGCAGCCGCGGUAAU